rnacentral:rRNA from 1 species
GGCGGCGUGCCUAAUACAUGCAAGUAGAACGCUGAAGAGAGGAGCUUGCUCUUCUUGGAUGAGUUGCGAACGGGUGAGUAACGCGUAGGUAACCUGCCUUGUAGCGGGGGAUAACUAUUGGAAACGAUAGCUAAUACCGCAUAACAAUGGAUGACACAUGUCAUUUAUUUGAAAGGGGCAAUUGCUCCACUACAAGAUGGACCUGCGUUGUAUUAGCUAGUAGGUGAGGUAACGGCUCACCUAGGCGACGAUACAUAGCCGACCUGAGAGGGUGAUCGGCCACACUGGGACUGAGACACGGCCCAGACUCCUACGGGAGGCAGCAGUAGGGAAUCUUCGGCAAUGGGGGCAACCCUGACCGAGCAACGCCGCGUGAGUGAAGAAGGUUUUCGGAUCGUAAAGCUCUGUUGUAAGUCAAGAACGAGUGUGAGAGUGGAAAGUUCACACUGUGACGGUAGCUUACCAGAAAGGGACGGCUAACUACGUGCCAGCAGCCGCGGUAAUACGUAGGUCCCGAGCGUUGUCCGGAUUUAUUGGGCGUAAAGCGAGCGCAGGCGGUUUGAUAAGUCUGAAGUUAAAGGCUGUGGCUCAACCAUAGUUCGCUUUGGAAACUGUCAAACUUGAGUGCAGAAGGGGAGAGUGGAAUUCCAUGUGUAGCGGUGAAAUGCGUAGAUAUAUGGAGGAACACCGGUGGCGAAAGCGGCUCUCUGGUCUGUAACUGACGCUGAGGCUCGAAAGCGUGGGGAGCGAACAGGAUUAGAUACCCUGGUAGUCCACGCCGUAAACGAUGAGUGCUAGGUGUUGGAUCCUUUCCGGGAUUCAGUGCCGCAGCUAACGCAUUAAGCACUCCGCCUGGGGAGUACGACCGCAAGGUUGAAACUCAAAGGAAUUGACGGGGGCCCGCACAAGCGGUGGAGCAUGUGGUUUAAUUCGAAGCAACGCGAAGAACCUUACCAGGUCUUGACAUCCCGAUGCUAUUUCUAGAGAUAGAAAGUUACUUCGGUACAUCGGUGACAGGUGGUGCAUGGUUGUCGUCAGCUCGUGUCGUGAGAUGUUGGGUUAAGUCCCGCAACGAGCGCAACCCCUAUUGUUAGUUGCCAUCAUUCAGUUGGGCACUCUAGCGAGACUGCCGGUAAUAAACCGGAGGAAGGUGGGGAUGACGUCAAAUCAUCGUGCCCCUUAUGACCUGGGCUACACACGUGCUACAAUGGUUGGUACAACGAGUUGCGAGUCGGUGACGGCAAGCUAAUCUCUUAAAGCCAAUCUCAGUUCGGAUUGUAGGCUGCAACUCGCCUACAUGAAGUCGGAAUCGCUAGUAAUCGCGGAUCAGCACGCCGCGGUGAAUACGUUCCCGGGCCUUGACACACCGCCCGUCAA